AUCAAAUAUCUCAUUAGCAAAAUUUGGAAUUAGAGUUUGUGCGAGCCCCAUACCGAAAAGUUACGCCAAACGUAGGUUAAAUGCUUGGAAUCGCUGGGAAGUAUCAGUACGUCAUCAGACACACCUUAGGCAUACACGAUUCUAGCCAGACUCAAGUGUGUAUUAGUGUAACUAUCAAUGCAUGUAGGCCGAAGUAAAACGAGGCUCGCACAGUAGGUGUCGAUUAUACUAAACAAGUUGAUGAUUCUAAAGGAAGAAAAAACAUCAUUGCUCGCAUGCACAUGCAAAUAAAAAGGUGUUUGUAAAUAUCGCAAAAAAUAUCAUACGAUUAAAACUAUUUUUUUUUUCAUUACAAUGUAAUAAAAAAGUUUGGGCGCUAUCCCCAAAAAUUAAAUUAAAUUAUCAAAUAGGACGUGUAACGCACUGUUUUGUUGGUCUUGUUUAUUUCACAGAUAUAAUAAAAAUAUAUUUCGUAAACUAAAACCUUAUACAACAGGACUGUCGUGUAAAAUAUUUGUAGAUGUUGCUGAAAUGUGAGAAGGUACGAGUACGAUGACGUUGGACCGAAAAAAAUAUAAUUGACACUUAACCUAAUAAGCAGUAAUGCAAUAAUGUGUGGAGGCGGAGUGAAUUACAGUACAUGAUAUCAUACGCCACCUCUCCUUAGCGGUAACACGACGUGUCUCCUAGAUACCCAGCUAAUCUACAUUAAGUGCAGUUUACUCAGUGCGGAACUACUCAUACUCAACUAAAUUUGAAUAGUGUUCAGAGUAAUUGGUACAGAAAUAGCAUUGCUAAAAAAUACUACUUAAUUCAAAAUUCGCAAAUGUUGUUGUGUCUCCUAUUCGUAUUCGAUGAGUGGUUAGUCAUUAUGAGCACGGAACUUGAAGGUCGAUGUAAUAAAGUCGAAUGGGAGUGCCCAACCAGUAAUGGAUUACGAUGCUCGAGCCUUUGCAUUAAGCUUUCUACGUCACCGCCUUUAGUAACGUGCAAACAGAGCUGCCGUAUACGGCUCAAGGACAAGCUAAAAAACUGGUAGCUAUGUACACGAAUUCCAGUAACUGUUGUAGAUAUAUGCUUGUUUCUCCUCUUAAAUUUACUUUCAUUAGCUUAUCUUUAUAUGAUUGUGAAAUUAAAGAUAGGUAAGUAUGAAGUUAAAUAAAAUUUAAUAAAUCAGGGGAUUGGAGCAAUCUUUCAUGCGAAUAUUGAAAUAAAGUUUAAUAUACUUUCUUUUUCGGAAUGGGGUGGCAAGACAAGGGAGGGCUGCAAAUGGGCAUUUUCAUUUUAAUUAGUACUUCUAAUUUUUACUAGUGUUUGCCACACCUAACUUUGCUAUUGCUAAUGGUGUGGUGUUUGGAAUUGGUCUUCAGUUAUGUAGCGACCGCUCACCGGCCAAUGUACAUGAUUAAAUGAAAACACCCAGAUUUGUGAAUGCACUCGGCAGGCGCUUUGCCGUGUACCUCCGCCAGGUUAGUAAUAGAGGAGGACAGUCGCUGCAGCGAGGUCCGGCGCUGGGUGGUGACUAGCUUGCGCACUACGUUUAUAGGCCGUCGCAGACCGAGCAUAGCCUGGGAUGCGAAAGACUCGGAAACUGUCGCUUCUUCGCUGUCUUCCUGUAUCGAUGGGACCUUAAAACCAAACAUCCUUUUUCUACGAAAACACGGUUUCGAAGGAACUAAAUGACUAAAAUUACAUUAACUAAGCUUAACGUUAAGUUUCUGAUACAGGGAUUACUCAGAUGACUAAGUGAACAGAGCACAUAUGUCAAGUAUUACUGCUGAUAUCUGAAAUGAAUUUACUUAUUAUGUACAAUACGCAAAUAAAAAUUUUGAAAGCAAGACAUUAAAUACAUUCAUUUUA